UGGGGAAUAUUGCACAAUGGGGGAAACCCUGAUGCAGCGACGCCGCGUGAACGAAGAAGGUAUUCGUAUCGUAAAGUUCUGUCCUAUGGGAAGAUAAUGACAGUACCAUAGAAGAAAGCUCCGGCUAAAUACGUGCCAGCAGCCGCGGUAAUACGUAUGGAGCGAGCGUUGUCCGGAAUUAUUGGGCGUAAAGGGUACGCAGGCGGUUUAAUAAGUCGAAUGUUAAAGAUCGGGGCUCAACCCCGCAAAGCAUUGGAAACUGAUAAACUUGAGUAGUGGAGAGGAAAGUGGCAUUCCUAGUGUAGUGGUGAAAUACGUAGAUAUUAGGAGGAAUACCAGUAGCGAAGGCGACUUUCUGGACACAAACUGACGCUGAGGUACGAAAGCGUGGGGAGCAAACAGG
rnacentral:rRNA from 1 species